CCCUCUCUUCCCAAUCCCCUCGUUCUCUUCCCCAGCCCUCCUCCCACCCCCUGCUCCGCCGACCGCCUCCCCGCCUUCUCCACCCACCUGGUUGCGGCCCUGCCGACCAGAGGCCACGGCCGACCUAUACAGCGACGGAAGGGCAGGAGCCGAGGCAAGAAGCGGCGUUGGAGAUGGAGGAUCGCCUCCGCAUCUUGGUUUCGUCGGGAUUUGCCGGCCGGCCGGAGGCCUCGGCUUGCAGGACGACAACGAGAUCGACGAGGAAGGGAGAGGUGGCGGGACGUGAAUCGGCGUGAGGUCGAGAGGGCAGGAGACCAUGGCGGUUUCCACACUUGCCCUGCACUGAUGUUGAUGGUGAAGCUGGAAAUGGUUGUCCCCUGAUUGGUGAGUUUGGAGGCGACGAUGGCCCGUGUUGCGCUGGAGAUGGAGGAUCCCCUCCACAACUUAGUUUUAUUUAUCCACGUCAAGCUCACUCGUAAAGGAGAGAGGAGGUGGAGCAGCGUAGGGAGGAAGAGGUGAACCGGAAGAUCAUUUGUGGAUUAAUGUUCUGAAUUUGUGUAAUGGUUCUUUUUUAUCUGGUCUACAAGGACGUGUGGCUCAUGGCGACACUGGAUCCAGUGGUCAGCAUGGUUAUCGCCGUCAGCGGUUCUCCUUGUCUUCAGUGUCAUAUGAGUGCAUUAAAAGGAUCAAGAAUUGGAUCAGUCAAACUAAUACUCAGAGUAACAUCAUUGUGGAAGAGAAGGGAGAAAAUUAAAGUUCUGCAUCAGCAAAUAUUUAUCGAGUCGGAGCACUUUCGAAAGAUCUUCAGAUGUUAGGCCUAUCAAGAAUAAUAUCUCAAUUAUCAAAGAUCUUUGAGAACUAAUACUUCAUCUAUAAUAGGAUCUCAAUAAUUGACCAUGGUUUGGCUUUUGGCUGGUAACAACGUCAGUGAGGUAGAUGUCCUUCACCCCUUUCUGAAGCUAAAGGUUCCAGACUUGUGCCACAGCAAUCUCUGGGAUGAGGAGGAUGUAAAGAGGGAGAUGAAGCGGUAAGAUGAAUCAUGAGAGAGAAAGAAGGAGAGACCUCCAGCGAUACUAACGCGUGCAGGUGUUUCAGUAGCCACCUUGGCUCCACCUCUAGGAGCCAAGUCUCCACUUCCACACCACACCCUUGUAUCUUUAUUCAUCUCUGCCUCUUGAAUAAGUUUCCUGUAUGUCCGAUUCAUAAGAUCACCAUUCAUAAAUGUUGCAUCCAUUUUUGCUAGAAAACAGGCAUGGAAAUUUAUUCAUGGUGACCGCGCGGUGGCGGCCAUGAUCGAACCCUAGCAGCAGAAAAUACUUCUUCGUUUGCUGGUUUAAAUCAUCAAAGAUUAAAUCGUAUCUUUUGUAGUAAUAUUUGGAUCUGAGUAUUCUGAAUAUGCACAUCUGGUCAUGUGAGUACUCUGAAUACAUGCACAUUCCAUUAAGUGCUUUGUUCUUUAAAUUAGUGCAGAUUUUUAAAUAGCUUUCAAAACAAACCAUGGCGACAAGUGGAAUAUUUAUGCUCCAUCUAGCUGCUUGAGAUUUUGCAAUUGAGGUACCAACAUAUUAAGUAGAGAAAUUUCAUAUGUGUAUAGCCAUGAUCUCUACCCCAGCAGCAGAAAAAAACUUCACCGUUUGCUGGUUUAAAUCAUCCAAGAUUAAAUUGUAUCUUUCGUAGUAAUAUUUGGAGCUGAGUAUUCUGAAUAUGCACAUCUGGUCGAGUGACUACUCUGAAUAUGUGCACAUUCGAUUCACUGCUUUGUUCUUUAAAUUAGUGCAGAUUUUUAAAUAGCUUUCAAAAUAAACCAUGGUGAAAACUGGAAUAUUUAUGCUCCAUCUAGCUGUUUGCGAUUUUGCAAUUAAGGUACCAACAUAUUAAGUAGAUAGAUUUCAUAUGUACCUAUGUUUCAGACUUCUAUCCCUUUUCACAAACAAUUAACACAUUUUUCUUUUUUGUGUUGGUCUUCUAGGCAUGAAGCAAAACUUGAGCAAAGAAACACGUGCUACCAACUGAUCAAUGGCUUUGCCAACGCAGCGAUAAGAUGAACGAGCAGUUGCCUCUGGGUUUGUUGUGUGUUUGGUCUGACCUACUGAAGCAAUUCUCUGUUUUCUCUAAUUUCAACUAUUUCCUCUCAUGUGGUAGUUUCUGUCUGCGCGAGAAUUUGCUACCCUGCCGGUUAUUGAAACGUUUUGUAUGAGCAGCUACUCUCAGUGCAUGUUGCCGUUAUUAAAAACGUGGCCGGCUGGGCAUUCAAAACAUGUGUGAGCAAAUUAUCCCUAGGGAAAAGUAGUGUUGCCUAUAGAACCCCAAAUCUAUAUAUCAGAAUGAAUGCACCAAGGGAGCAAUGCGGAGGCAUGUAGCAACCUGAUGAUGGAGAAAUGUAAAAAAUUCAGUAGACAUGGUUCACAUGAGUUCAAAACAUUAUUUUCGUCAGGAGACAUGGACUGUUUUCAAUGGCUUCUCAGUUCUAAAAUCAGGUCCAUUGAUGUAUUGUUAUGAUAUUUCUAUUGUGUUGUAAACAUUUUGAGUAGCUCUCACCGAACAACUUAUCUCACACUUUACAUUGUUGGGCAAUCUCCCAUGAUGACUUCAAAAGUAAUUAUGGAGGCGGGUGCCUCUUGAGAGUGCUAUUAAAUUAUUGUUUAGAUAACAAUAAUUAGAGGUACAUUAUAUUUUCAUGUGGUUUGUAUUGUAAACACAUGUCGUGAUACUACUAAUACACAUAAUAUUUUACCCAGUGAUUGACUAUGUGAAAGGUUGGGUGGUGUGUGGAUUGAUAAGACUUAUUUCUGACUAUUACCAUCAGUUUAUAUAAAUGUUUAAUACAUUCUUCUA